rnacentral:SRP_RNA from 11 species
CUGCUGCGUGCUGGACCGCAGGCUGGUAUCAGAGCAGCGCACAGG